CGUGGAGCGCCCUUUACCUCUCGCUUUUUAUCCCGGUUUUGCAUGUCGGUUGCUGCAGCCCUGGGGAGGCGGAUGAGUAAUGGAAACUAAGCGCAAACGCUUUAGCCAAAAGGUUUCAGAUCGAUAAAUUAAGAUGUUUAUCUAGCCCAUCACUUUGAGGAGGGUACACAAAGGGAAAAAGGAACCAGUCCCACCCCGAUGAGCAAGAUUUGACUGAUGUCCCUGUCAGGUGAGACCAUUUUAAGUUGGUAGGCUUAUCCAAUAAAAUGAGUUUCAGGUGACCUGCACAAACGAAACUAGAUUGGAGAAAUGAAACAGCUGAAACAACACCCCUCCCCCAGUAGAAAAGUCAGUUUUUAUAUCAUUUCCCUAGAGGAUGCUAUCAUUAGCCGAGUUAGAUCCUUCAGUUUCAGUUCAUUGCAAUACAAACAAAAGGCCUUUAGUAUUAGACAGGAAGAAAGACAAUAAGGAAGAGGCUUAAAGCUUCUGAUUUGCCAUGGCAAGUGCUUUCGAAAAUAGGAAUGAGACCUAGCCUAGGAGAAAUAGGAAGAACCACUAGGAAGAAUGAAUGAAAGGAAGAAGAUCGCAGCUGGAACCAGGGUACCAGGCACAUCACACAUUUGCGCACAUGGUACCAGGAAGACUUCUUGUCCCAGACCUAGUCUAUUGUGCUCACCGAUCCCUGGGAUUCCACAUUUAGAACUUUAUUCCUGGGUCUUGAAACCAAAGGGACUUUGACCCUGAAGGAAGUUACCGCUGUUUUAUUGUUUAUACUGCCGUGAGGGUGUAUUUUUUUCCUAUCUUCUCUGAAGAGGAAGUUUUAAGAGAGAGGAAACAUGAUCAUCUGGUUUCCCAAGGGUAAUGUGGUACAAAAGGACAAAAGGAAAACUAGACAAAUUCCCAUCUUCUUAAUCUUGCUCCUAGCCAGUCUUGUUCACUCAGAAAAUCCUAAAAUGAAGGAAAACAGUAGGUUUGGUAAGUUUGUACCAAGCUUGGGGGCCUAGAUGCCAAGAGGCAGCCGUUUUGGAUCCUUUAGAACUCUGAAAGCACAGCAAAAAAUCAACUUUCCAAAUCUUCACUCCCAGUCCAAAGGAAUAAAAAGAGCAACAUAAAUAAUCCACAUGAAUAUUGCAAAUUUGAAGAGGAUUUGGCGAUGGUUACGCUUUAAGGAAAAUUAUCAACAUGGAACUGAAUUAGCAGUAAGUUACCAUGCAAAUAUUUUUUAAAGCAGGUUCAUUUGUUUAACUGGUUAAACUUAAUAAACUCAUUUUUAAAGUUCAUUUAAAAUGUCAUCACAAGAGAGCAUGUUUCCAAUCUUGCCUAGAUAUUCCAAGACAAUUAAUAAUGAGACCCAUUUCACACCUGACGUUUAUGAAACCAAUCAAAUACAUCUUUUAAAAUCAAGAUAAUUUGGUUUAGCUUAACAAAUAUUGCUUAUCUUCAUUUAUUAAGUUUGACAGCAGGAAUGCAACUAAAUUCUAAACAUUAGGGAAGACAAUAAAUGAAUUGUCAAAACAAGAGUCGCUUGUAGGGAUUUCCGGAUUUUCCCUGCACUAUUUCUAAGUACAGCUCAAAUUACGUUUUUUCUAGAAUAAGUCACUUUUGCACUUUUCACAGAAUCCCGUACACCACCUCUUGUUACCAUUUCACAUCUGUAGGGCAGUUCUAGGUAUUCCCUACUGUUUUUUGAGGGAUGGUUCUGGCAGUGCCCAAUAAUUAAGAACCCACUAUGCUUGGCUUGCUUCCUUACAGGUGAUCUCACCUACAGCUUCCAAGGAUAUCCUCACACUCAGGUUUCAUUCCAAUUACAGCGACAGUUGCUUUCUCUAGGGAAUUAGUUUUCAGUGUCUUUCUUCCCACCCUAAAUACAUGAAGAUGUAUAAUUUAAAAUGUGUUGGUUAAUUAGAUAUGAUGACUUCUUUUAACCCUGUAUAGCCCUGCAAGGUAAAUAUGAUGAUGCCCAUUUCACAGAUGAAGAAAUCAAGGUGGUUACAGAGCAUGUGGCAGACCCAGGACUCCAGUGCAAACAGUGUGGCUCCGGAGGCUAUGCUCUUAGCCCUUACAUUACCUUGCCUCUUAUUUUUGUGAGGUUAUCUAUAUUAGUUUCUCUGCAAAAGUUGGUAAUUUAAAAAAAAAUCUGUAGAACCUUAAACUGGUGGCUUUUCAGUCUAUAAAUGUGGCAGGUCAAUGGAAAUUUUAAAUGGAAUAAAGCAUAGAAUAAAAACGUUUCAAGAUACU